GUACUUACUUUUGCAACACAUAUACUAGAAUGGGAACAAUACAGAGAGGAUUAGUGUGGUCCCUGCAGAGGAAAACAUGGGAACUUAUGAAGUGUUUAAUAUUUAA
rnacentral:snRNA from 1 species